rnacentral:rRNA from 1 species
GACGAACGCUGGCGGCGUGCUUAACACAUGCAAGUCGAACGGAAAGGCCCUGCUUUUGUGGGGUGCUCGAGUGGCGAACGGGUGAGUAACACGUGAGUAACCUGCCCUUGACUUUGGGAUAACUUCAGGAAACUGGGGCUAAUACCGGAUAGGAGCUCCUGCUGCACGGGGGGGGUUGGAAAGUUUCGGCGGUUGGGGAUGGACUCGCGGCUUAUCAGCUUGUUGGUGGGGUAGUGGCUUACCAAGGCUUUGACGGGUAGCCGGCCUGAGAGGGUGACCGGCCACAUUGGGACUGCGAUACGGCCCAGACUCCUGCGGGAGGCAGCAGUGGGGAAUAUUGCACAAUGGGCGGAAGCCUGAUGCCGCAACGCCGCGUGCGGGAUGACGGCCUUCGGGUUGUAAACCGCUUUCGCCUGUGGCGAAGCGUGAGUGACGGUAAUGGGUAAAGAAGCACCGGCUAACUACGUG